CAGCCCUGUGCCCCUCUGUGCCAGAGGCAAGCUGGGGGUGACACCUGGCAAAUCUCAGAUCCAGGAGCUGGGGGGAUGGCCCCUCCCCCAACAGGACCCCAUCCCUGUCUUGCCCCUCUCCUUGGAUGCUAGCCAAGAAGGUGGCACUGGGAUCUGUUGGGAAACAUCCAGAAAGGGACUCGAGCCCCUGGGGCAGCUCUACCCCGGAGCCCUGGACCUGCCCCUCUACGUUUUUCACUCCCUCAACUCAGUGCCCGCGUCCUCUUGGGCUCAGAGCCACCGCAGAGCCCACAGUUCCGUGGCGAGCACAGACCAGCAGUACUGAACCAUGCAGAUGUCCAAGGCAGUCUUCCAGAGACAGAUAAAGGGCACCUGAUCCAGCCUGGAGAGUUCGAGAAGCGGCCCGGAGGGGAAAAUGACUGGGCAGGUUAUUGCUAAAGGAGCAGGCCAGGCCGAGCAGAAGAGGGGAGGUGCGCUCAGGACCUGCGCUCAGGACCUGCAGGGCCCAGCCAGUGCGCAGUGUCCAGAGAUGGUUGAGGGCCGGAGUGGAGGCAGCCAUGGGGCCCCCAGGGCCUGUGCCCGCUGGCAGAGCACUGGGUUUCCAGAUGAAAGUGCCAGGCGUCACCAGCCAGGUGGGUCAGAAACCAGGAAAAGGUGGCUCUGGCCCUGGGGGAAGGCAGCGUGUGCACUGAGCACCUUCAGAGCCCUCCUUACACUCCAUUCUGCCCAGGGAUGGGCGACCCCCCAGGCCCAGUCUCAGGGGCUCAGGACCACACGGAGCACCUCUGUACACGUGGGGAGCAGCGCUCUCUCCGGGCAGACCUGGUCCUGUGGGCACGUGGCUUGGAGGGGAGACACAGCCUUGACUGCCACUAGGAGAAGGAUGCUUCCCUCAAGGAGACACAGCCCUUUCGAGGUGACCAGCAGACACACGGUGGCCCCAAGCACACCCUGCAGCGGCCAGAGGAGAGGACUCCAUCUGCACACACUCAACCAGGGCUGCUGUGCCCUCUCUGCCCCGCCCCCACACAUGGGCCACCCCAGCCCUUGUCAUAAAAGCCCUGAAAUGGAUGGGAGGGACUUAGAGGGUGGGGAGGGGGUGCCACACAUGCAGAAUCCUCACAUACUUCAAGGGCUGUGGGUGAUGUUGCCCAUUCUGCACCCCCUGGCGCUGACAGUUCUCCUGAGGCCCUCACUCCUUCUGGGUACCACAUGGGGAGGCAGGGCAGGCACCUGGAGAUGAAAGGCACGGGACCAGCUGCGGGCCCCAGUCACCUCCCAGGAGGCAGCCCUGCCGCCCCUCCAGGGCUUCCCUCCGGUGCCAUGUGGUCCCGUCUGGCCCCUACCCCGCCUUCAGACACGGCAUCGGGGUGGAGCCACACACCCUCCUGGGUAGAGAAAUUGGUCUUGUCAGCUGGGCUCCAAGAGGUGGCCGCCUUCAUGUCAGCCCUGAAAGCUGAACACCCCUCCCAGUACCCUGGCCCUCUUCGACCACCCACCCUUUAGGGCAAGCCCUCCAGGAACGGAGGGAAAAGACACAGAGCUAUAAGCCAGCAGCCCCGGGACUGGCCCUAGAUGAUGGGCUCAUUUCUCC
ensembl:lncRNA